UACGUAGGGUGCAAGCGUUGUCCGGAAUUAUUGGGCGUAAAGAGCUCGUAGGUGGCCUGUCGCGUCGGCUGUGAAAACUCGGGGCUCAACCUCGAGACGCCGGUUGAAACCAUCUGGCUAGAGUCCGGAAGAGGAGAGUGGAAUUCCUGGUGUAGCGGUGAAAUGCGCAGAUAUCAGGAAGAACACCCGUGGCUAAGGCGGCUCUCUAGUACGGUACUGACGCUGAGACGCGAAAGCGUGGGGAGCGAACAGG
rnacentral:rRNA from 1 species